AGACAGGAGACAGGGCCUCUGGCCUUGCUGGGGAGUUGGAACCAAGACACUCCUCACACAGACACAUAAAACUGGGACUCUCUAAAAGCUAUACUCACUCCCAGAUAAAAUUAGAAAAGUUCACACAGGAAGACAGUCCCAGAGAAUUCUUAACCAAGGUCUGGGAUUCAGAGGCUAUGGAGUUUACAUACUCUCCUCAUAUUUGGGGAACUCAAAAAAUUGACACUGAACUGAUGAUAUCCCUAGGUUGCCUGGCAGAAGCAAAUGAAAUAUCUCUGUACAGGACUCACCCACAGGCCAAGCCUCCUGAGGCUUCCGCAGAUGAAAUCCGCGGGGGCCACAGACGUCAACCAUCCACACCCUGGCUUAUAUUUCCCCUCACUCUUUCCAGCUACAAGAUACCCCUCUGUGUGACACCAACUGCUCCUGUCAUAGAGCAGAAUUAGGCCCUAAGAACUGUAUGCCAUUCCCCUAUUCCUUCCCUCCCCUAGACACAACCACUAAAUCCAGGCUAAUUUCCAUGCAUGGUUUUAAACUGUACUGAGCGAUUCCAGAAAUAGCAUACACAUUUGUUUGCAAUCUCAAGCCUAUGGAAAACGAAAAUGAUGCUCAGUACAAAGUCUGUUUUUGCUGGGAACUCAUCUUAGAAGUGCACAUUCCACAGUCUUGGCAGAGGCUGAGUGUUCUCCAUGACUCUCUUGUGAAGGUGAUGAAUUGUCCUAGCAUCAGGAUCAUCAGGUAGCUGUCAGCAUCUUAAGGGCAGGGCUCAUGUCUGAUUCAAUCCCCUCGUAUUAUGAGCACUAAGAAAAGAGCCUGGCACACUGUCAGUGCUCCAUCAAAAGGCCAACUGGAGGAUGCAUUACCUGGGCAACACGGCAGGGUCUGUCCAGAGGCAAUGGAGUGACACCUGUUCUCUCAGCCCAGUAUAACCUACAAAUCCCCAACUCUGCAAGUCCAUGUUCAAGGCAGACAGAUAGGAAAAGGAGAAAGGAGAGGCCUAAGAUGGGAGAGGCUCUAAACCCUCCACCCAUAUCCACCAGGGCUGGUAGUCCAAGUGGGGACCCUGGAAUGGGCACUGAUGGCAGUGCUCCUUCUGGUGGCUCACACCCUGCUACCCCUCGGCUUAUGUUUUCUCCUCACGCUUGUCAGUUACAAGUGACCCCUGCUGGAGGAUCCCAACUGCUCUUCUCAGGCAGCAUUUUUGCCCACCCUGAUCUACUGUGGUUUCCAUGAAGGUUUUUGCCAUGACUGAGCUGAUGAUGCUAUGUGCUUGGAAAGCAGAGCCCAGAGCACAGGGUCUCUGGAAGAUGAAGGCCUCUAGGAACUGAAAUGCAGUUAGGCAGUAUGGCCUUGGGUACAAGGCCUCUUCCUACUCUAAAUGCUAAUAGCAAAGUGGCUGUCCUGGCUGCUGCCCCAACAUGGGGGAGGCACCACCAACUCCAUCUCUUUUGCUAUCAUCAUAGCUUUUCUACUAAUGGGUCUCUCUAAGGUGAUUCUUCUGCCGUUGGACUAGGCCCCUUGACCCCGAACCACACUCUAUGUGUGGCUUUUCAAAACAAUGUUUACUGAUGUGGAGGCCAGAGAGAGAAGGGAGGAAUGUAGGAGGGGAGAAGGGGUGUUCUGAGUUUCAAAAUAGAUAAGCAUUAGCUCUAACCUGGAAGGAGCUCUUCUGAAACACAAAUUUGAUCAUAUAAGUCCCUCCAUCACUCUGAAACCCUUAGACUCACUUCUAGGGAAAAAGCCACAUUUCCCCUCUCACUUUCUCCCUUCUACAGCCACUGGCUCACAGGCCCCUGGUUCCAGGGCUCCCCACCCCAUCUCCUGCUUGUCAGUUCAUCUUGUUCACCAUCCCUAAGAGUUGGGCUCCUUCCUGGCUCCAUCCAUGUCCUGGCCUCCUGGCCUUUCUAGCACACUGCCCUCCCCUCAGCCCUCCCCUAAUCAGGCAGUCUCCCUUGUGUGUGCAGCAAACCCUUCUCAUCUGUCCCAUUUGUCAGCCAGGAAGUUGUGCUUCCUUGUGAAAACUUCUAAAAUUGGUUCAGACAGACAGAGGUAAUUUUCUGUCACCACAAUCAGCAUCCCCUUUUGAUGGCCCUUGUCCAUUGGGGUCUCAAAAGUGACUUUAAAAAAAAGAAAAGACACAAACUAAUAAGGCUUGUGAGCUCUUGGGAGACACCCACCCACCCACCCACUAGGGCAUCAAAGCAGACAGACCUGUGUCAGAGGGGUGCCUUUGACCAAAACACAUGCAGCUCACAGGACCCUCUUUCCUCAGCCAAUCAAUUCAAAGCAUUGCUCUGUUUCUGUCUUCUUUCAAUUACCAUAGUCCCUCCACUUCAAAGGAUGCUGACAAGGAGGGGCUCUCUCUGCAGAGAUGGCCUAAACACUUGCCCACUGGCUCACAGGCCCCCAGUUCCAGGGCUGCCCACCCCAUCUCCUGCUUGUCAGCUCAUCUUGUGACAGAACUUUUGCCCUGAAGCACUCAGGGAUCCUGACUUCUGAGCCACCACUGCCCUGGGGUCCUUGUCCCAAGUCCAGCAUAAGCAGGACAGCAGGGAAAUCCCGGAAUUAGAAGGAUCCUCCAUGAUCAGCAGAGGAUAGGGGAAAAGCCUUCUCAACCCAGGGAGUGGUGGCCACACACCAGGACCCUGUCACAUGGAGAAGGCACAGGGCAGGGUGUUGCCUCAACAGAGCUCUACCACAGUGCCCAGGCAUCCAUGCAUAGCCACGUGGCACACCCGUCUCCCACAGGACUGUGAGCUCCUCAGCACAGGGACCAUGUCUUAUUCACCUUUGUUCCCCUGUGCCCAGCACAUGCAGGUGUUCAAUGAAUAAGAGCAACGUUCUGGCACGUGGAAGGGCCAGUUAGGAACCAGGCACGGCAGGACAGGAGAAGGGAGCAUCCUCUAAUCCAAGCCUCCACUGUCAACCAGGACUCAGCUGGGUCUCUGGACUGAAGAGGCAAAGGGGGUUAGCCGAUUAAUAACCACCCGGUGCACCCAGCCCAGCACGAAGACAGCUCGCUAAGAGACUCAGCAGAGAAUGGGGCUUUUGAGCGCCACGCCAGAGACUGGCCUCACUUCCCGUCCUCUUACUAGAGGCUAUGUCCAUAGGUCAAGGCCUCUUUCAAAUGCACCUUUGGAUGGGAAGUCCACUUGAGCUUCUCUGACCACCACUCUCUACCUCUCAGAAGGAGCUUGCCUUUGUCUGACCUCCUGGAGCCCUACACUCCAGAUGAAACCACUCAGGUCUGAGGACAGGACAGAUGUCAGGAAACAAAACAAAAGCAGUAACAAGUAACCAGGGAAUCAGUCUGGUCACAGGACUGCUUGUUGCUCUUUGUAUGCAUGCUCUCUUGAAGGAUUCCCUGGAAACAUAAUCAGCUCCCACUGAGCCAUGAUUGUCUCUGGGGAAGGGGCUAGGAUGGGGCGCUAAGUCCCAAGUGAGGGAAGCCCAACUGGAUGUUCUUCAGUAUUUGGGUUUUAACCAUAUGCAUGCGAAGACUCAAAAACUGAGUAUUAAUAACAGAAAUUUGCUUAUUCCAAAAUGCAGCAAUUUUUCCAGGCCGUAGUCACAGACCUAGUCAUAAAUAAGUGAAGUUUCAACAAUACCAAAACAUGAUAAAGGACGUUAGAAGUCUAAAAGUCUCUCCUAAAGCAACAAACGAGACCCAGACUAUAAUGAGCAAUGAUUUUGAAAGUAAAACCACAAUGUUUAAAUGGGUUGAAAGCAGAAUUUCUCAGAGAAAAAGUGGUUUUUAAUAAUUACGUAGCAAGAAAUUCUAAGAGAAAAUUAAAAAAGAAAAAUGGCCAGGAAACUAUAUAGGGAGGGAGGAAAAAUUUGCCAGCCACCCUGCAUUCACCAGAAGUUUUAUUUCUAAAAUUCAUCUCAGAAGUGUCAUCAUUAGAAAUACUUAAUUUAUUCUUGUCUUGCCAGGAGCUUUCUAACUGAUUCCUUUUUCUGACCCAGUGUCACUCUCCUCCAACCCAUUGGGAAUUACCCCCAAAAUCUGAUCCUGCCAUGCUAAUUUAAAAGCUGCCUUCGUUUUCCAAAUGGUAGCCUGUGGAAUGCACUUGUGAAUCUCAUCCUGUGUCUCCUCUUCUCUCACCUUCUCCUGGGCCCUUGAUUCCAGCUCUCUAAACAAAAUUCUUCAAAGCUCCCAGCUUCUCCAACCAACAGAUCUGCAGAACAGUUGUUCCACUAGCACAUCCCACUCUGUGCUUGGCCUGUUUGAUCAUCUUUAAGUUUGAGCUCACGUGUUACUUUGUGAAGCUUUGCUAGACUCUCUCUGGAAGUUUCUCUCUCACAGGGCUCUAGUGUAGCCAUUUUUACAAGUUCUGUAAUGCCUGCCUCACCAGGGGCCUUUGCCUUGUUCAUCUUUGUAUCCUAGCUCCUCCCACUCCCAGCACAGAGCCUGCUGCCUGGACUCCCCUCAGUGAAGGUUCAUUGAGUGCCUCAAGUGGUAUUUUUAUAGAAAGCAAAAGAGAGCUAAUCGCCCCUCUGCCCCCAAGACGCUCUACCUGUCGUAGAGUCUCUUCCAUCCAUGGAUCUCAGUUUCACAGACAUUGCUAUUCACAGUGGUACCCAACAACACCUUUGCUGAUUGAUGUAUGUGCCACUCACUCUUUAGGGUCCAGGCCACUGCCAUGGAUAUCCAUGAAAGACGACCCCUUGCCCUUACAAUUCUCCUCCUCCUUGAUGGAUCUUGCCCAGAUAGGAUCUCAGCUCCUUUUACACAAAUUCAGUGGCUCUGUAUCCUGCCCCAGGACUUAGAUCUGGACCAAGGACCCAGUUAGUUCCUGAUGCAUGUCUCAGACCUAGAGGAAAAAAGCUGAUGCAGCCAACUAUGCAUCUGGUUGUUCUCUUACAUUUCUCCCAAUCUCCUGAUUGGACAACCUAAACUGAAGUUUAUCUGAAGCUACUCUUCCCCAGCGUCAAGAGAAAAAUGCCAUGGACUGGCUGAGUGUCCCCUAUGAUGCUGUGUGUGGUGACAGAUCCUCCCAGCAUCACCAGCCCCAGUUAGCUGUCAGGAUGUUAAAGGCAGGACCCUUGCCUCCUGAGCAUUCAAAAGAGAGCCUGGCACACUGUCAGCAUUCUAUUAAAGGGUCAGCUGAAGCAUGUGUUACACAGGCAACACAGCAGGGUCAACCAGAGGCAAUGGAGAAACACCCAUUCCCCUGGUCCAGUAUAAGCUUCAGUUCCCCAACUCUGCAAGUCCAUGUUCAAGGCAGGUGGGAGAAGAAGAGAGAGACCUGAGAUGGGGGAGGCUCUGAACCCUCCACCCACAGCCACCAGAGAAUGCUCAAUCUUUCAGAAGACUGAGUCCAAAAUUAGUUUUCUGGUAUAUAUUUUAAUGUGAGGAAAAAACUUUUACAGUCUCCAAAAGAGUUUGUUUUAAAGCACAAGCUUCUAGAAGGCAAAUCUUCCUUUCUGUACAACAAUAAGUGUAGCACUUUUUAUUUACAAAUAUUAUUUGCUAAAGAUAACACUUUACUGGACGGACAAACAUUCCAGGUUGGUUACUUUAGGAAGUAACUCCUAGAACAAGAACACUCCUGUGUGUCAGAGAACACUUUACUACCUCUAUGGACAGCCAUUGAUGUGUUGGCUUCCAAUGGAUAAUCCUGAAAAGGAACCCUUUUAAAUAGUGAGGAAAUUAGAUUGUCCUCUUGAGUCUGUAUAUCAUAUUUUAGUUUUAGAUCUAAGUUUGGUGGGGAAGCUCAAACUUAUUAACUGCCCUAUUCUUCCCAUCUGGUGUUUGAACUCCAUCUAAAUCCCUACAGGGAUAGAAAAUUCAAUACCUCUCAAGCAAUCCUGCCCCAUUUUCAAACAUUUCUCUUAGAAACCUUUUCUUUACAGCCAAUCCAAUUUUUUGUCCUUAGAAUAC
rnacentral:lncRNA from 1 species